CGACCGGCGCACGGGUGAGUAACACGUAUCCAACCUGCCGAUGACUCGGGGAUAGCCUUUCGAAAGAAAGAUUAAUACCCGAUGGCAUAGUUCUUCCGCAUGGUGGAACUAUUAAAGAAUUUCGGUCAUCGAUGGGGAUGCGUUCCAUUAGGUUGUUGGCGGGGUAACGGCCCACCUAGGCGACGAUCAGUAGCCGGACUGAGAGGUUGACCGGCCACAUUGGGACUGAGACACGGCCCAGACUCCUACGGGAGGCAGCAUG
rnacentral:rRNA from 1 species